ACGGCUCAGUAACACGUGGACAACCUACCCUUAGGACGGGGAUAAACCCGGGAAACUGGGUAUAAUACCCGAUAGAUCUCGGCCGCUGGAAUGCAUCGAGAUCUAAAGCUCCGGCGCGUAAGGAUGGGUCUGCGGCCUAUCAGGUAGUAGUGGGUGUAGUGUACCUACUAGCCUACGACGGGUACGGGUUGUGAGAGCAAGAGCCCGGAGAUGGAUUCUGAGACACGAAUCCAGGCCCUACGGGGUGCAGCAGGCGCGAAAACUUUACAAUGCUGGCAACAGCGAUAAGGGGACCUCGAGUGCCAGGUUACAAAUCUGGCUGUCGUGAUGCCUAAAAAGCAUUGCAUAGCAAGGGCCGGGCAAGACCGGUGCCAGCCGCCGCGGUAACACCGGCGGCUCGAGUGGUAACCGUUAUUAUUGGGUCUAAAGGGUCUGUAGCCGGCCGGAUAAGUCUCUUGGGAAAUCUGGCAGCUUAACUGUCAGGCUUUCAGGAGAUACUGUCUGGCUCGAGGCCGGGAGAGGUGAGAGGUACUUCAGGGGUAGGGGUGAAAUCUUGUAAUCCUUGAAGGACCACCAGUGGCGAAGGCGUCUCACCAGAACGGACCUGACGGCAAGGGACGAAAGCUAGGGGCACGAACCGGAUUAGAUACCCGGGUAGUCCUAGCCGUAAACGAUACUCGCUAGGUGUCGGCCACGGUGCGACCGUUGUCGGUGCCGUAGGGAAGCCGUGAAGCGAGCCACCUGGGAAGUACGGCCGCAAGGCUGAAACUUAAAGGAAUUGGCGGGGGAG
rnacentral:rRNA from 1 species